UCGCGGGCGGUGCGGCCGGAUCGGCACUGCUCCUGCUCGCACCGGGAGACACCUUCGAGCGGGUGGUCCCGGUGCUCAUCGCGAUC
rnacentral:tRNA from 1 species